rnacentral:tmRNA from 1 species
GGGGUCGUUACGGAUUCGACAGGCAUUAUGAGGCAUAUUUUGCGACUCGUGUGGCGACGUAAACGCUCAGUUAAAUAUAACUGCAAAAAAUACAAACUCUUACGCUGUAGCUGCCUAAACACCAGCUCGCGUGACUUGGACUGGAUUGCUUGCGUUUAGUUUCAGGUCUUAUUAUUAGCAAGAUACGUUUAACUAUUGCCUAGCUAGUUAAAAAGAGAUUGAUAGGCUCGCUAUCUGAAGGGUUGAGUUAUGUCUCGUCUGAUGGUUAAAUCAAAAACAUAACCUAUGGUUGUAGACAAAUAUGUUGGCAGGUGUUUGGACGUGGGUUCAACUCCCACCGGCUCCAUCA